rnacentral:rRNA from 1 species
UACGGAGGUUGCAAGCGUUGUUCGGAAUUACUGGGCGUAAAGGGCGUGUAGGCGGGCGCUUAAGUCUGGCGUGAAAGCCCGGGGCUCAACCCCGGAAGGGCGCUGGAUACUGGGGGUCUUGAGUCCCGGAGAGGAGGGUGGAAUUCCGGGUGUAGCGGUGAAAUGCGUAGAUAUCAGGAGGAACACCGGUGGCGAAGGCGGCCUUCUGGACGGCUACUGACGCUGAGACGCGAAAGCGUGGGGAGCAAACAGG